AGAAAAUCUUAAGUGUUCGGCGAACGUUGGCAUGUUGUGUUCACAAUUCGAAAAAUUUGUUUACGACUAUUACUGCGAAUAUGUCAAAAGUCCAUUUCUAAUUAACAUUUAUUAAACAGAAAAUUUAAAAAUAAUGUAGCUAGAUUACUUACAAGGAAAUUCACGUAAGUGUCUUUCUCCGAUUUUGAUAAGCUUUUACUUAUUUUCUAGAAAUAAGAGACACGUAUUUUUUUUAUACAUACCUAUACGUGUGGAUACACUCUAAAAAAUAUCGGUGUGAAAUUUCACCACACCCAUGUAGUUAAACAAUUCAAUGUGAAUUUUAACACCAAAAUUGUUGACAAUUUUUUACACCGACAAACGCGACGUCAAACUUUGAUGCCAUAUUGUUUUGUUUUCACAACGUGUGGUAUGACGACGCGACAAGCAACCAAUGUAUCGUGUACAGGUUAUUAGUUCGUAUUCGCGCCAUCGUUAUAUACGGAAAAGUGUAUAGGACUUCUUUUUCGUCGAAUUAUUUAAGUGUUUGUAAUAAUAAUCAGUGUAUUAUCAAAGAGGAUAAAUCAGCUCGACAAUAUGCUUAUAAAGUACCAUAACGUGAAGAAGUUCGUCCACUUAAAUACGAGUGAUUCAGCAGAAGAAUUCAUCGUUAGAGUACGUAAAAAAUUUAUGGCAGAAGUGGAAGAUAACAAAAUAAAAUUUUGAGAUUCAGAUGAGACUGAAAUAGACUCGGAGGAUCUGAUAGAGUACAUAUAGGAAAAGCAGUCAGAUAGCUUUAUUUUAAAUAUUUGUAAAGAAACUUCAGCUGUCACCGAGGAUCAUUAUCUAUGGUGUGUUCAACAGCAGCAAUAGUUCAUUGUCUGCCAGUACAUCGUCUGCUUGUGACGACGUUAACAUCUGUAUAUUGCCUAUUGAACAGUAUUUGGAAGCUGCUACAAACAAUUCUGCCAGUACAUCAUCUGCUUAUGACGACAUUGAUAUUUGUCUAUCUCCUGUUAAGCAAUAUCUGAAAACUGCGAAAGAGAAGUCAUUAAAAUAUUGACGUACUAUAAUACUGGAUCCAAAACUCUCCAAAAGUAUACUUAUAGAAUUUCCACGAUUUCUAGAUACGCCAGGUUUGAUACAAAAAGAUUUUAAAGCUUUAAUGCCAGAGAAUUUAUCCAAAUUAAUUGAAAACUGGCAGGAAUUUGAAACUAGAAUAGUAAAAGUAUCUGAGAUUACAAUUAAAAAAAAGAGUAAAGAUAUUGCAUGUAAGUGUUUGAUAAUGCACAGAAUUACAAACUUUUAAUGUUGUUUUUCAUUGAUGCAAUAAGGUGCAAUGUGUAUGUUUAUUGGCAGUAUGGGACAGAAUUAUUGUUCGAGAUUCCGUUAACGUUGCGCCGUCCGAUCAGAUGGCAGCAUCGAUCGGGUAUCGACGCCCGAUCACCGCGACAGCUGGCGCACGCACGGGCGCGCUCAUCGCCAACGUCUUCCUCGCGAUAUUCAGAGUCGUACAAAUGGCCGC